UGCGCCGUCGAGCCGCCCUGGCCUCCCUCACAGUCCAUCACCACAAACGCAGGUAAAACGCUGCUGAAAAUCUGAAUUCGGAACGGCGACUGCUGGAAAUGGACAGCGGAGCAGCCGUGGAGAGAGGACAGUCGCCACCUGUGCAAGAUUUAAAGCGCAAGGGCGGGCACGGAGAGGAACGAGGGCAGCCUCUGAGAGGCUGGAAGCGACGGAGCCUCCACGGCCCUUUGGAAUAGAGAAUUCUGAAUAAUUCGCCACCCCUGAAUAAAGUUCUCUUCAGUUUAGCCCUGACCAGCAUUCUUCCGAGCAACACACUCAAAAUGCUGGAGGAAUUCAGCAGCUCAUGGAAAUGAAUAGGUAGUCAAAGUUUGGGGUCGGGACUCUUCUCCGGGAUUUAUUAUUUUGAUAUGCUGUUCUAGUCUCAGCAAGGGAGGUAUCCUCCUGUUGGGGCCCUUAAGAACUAUUUACACUUCAAUGAGAUCACCUGCCUGUCUUCUCAACUCUAGCCAAGCUCACCCAAUCCAUUUUCAUAGGUCAUCUGUACGUCACAGUUGCAGCACUGACUCUAUAACAAGUAGCUUUUAGAUGUUACAGGGCUGAGAAAAAUGCCAAUGAGGUGAACGCCUGCUGUGGACCUUUUGCUAUGGUUGGCAAAUUGGAGUGGAUCCAAGUUGCUUCUUAGGCAGGAGUUUCGUUACCAACCUCUCAAAACACUUCAUGACUGUGGAUGUAAGUGCUACUGGACGACAGUCAUUGAGAUGCUACCUGACCUGUUUGGCUCCUCCUGCAUUUGGUCCUCUGUUCAAUCAACUGUGCCGUGCCUAGUGACCAGCAUACAGCACAGUUUCCAACCAAGAUCAAGGUGAGUGUUCUGCUGGUUAUCAUAAUCUGCUUUUCGUGCCCAAAUUAUCUCUAUGUUUUCCCUUAUCUUUCUGGUCCCAUUACUCCUUCACUUCACCCUUCCAUGCCCUCAUGGCCUGCCCAUCACCAACACCUUCCUCUUUCUGGUUCCCCACCUCCUUCCUUUUAUUCAAUGGUCUACUCUCCUCUCCUGUCAGAUUGCAUGUUUUUCUUUCCUUUGCCUCUUCCACCAAUCACCUCCCAGCUUCCCACUUCACUCUUUACCCCACCUAGCCUUCUUCUCCCCCCCUUCACCUAGAUUCACUUAUCACCCACCAGCAUAUGCUCAUUCCCUUCCCCUUCCCUUUCCCUUUCACUUUCGCUCUGGCUUUCAGUCCCGAUGAAGGGGCUUGGCCCGAAAUGUCAGCUGAUCAUUUCUCUCUGUAGAUGCUGCCUGACCUGCUGAGUUUCUCUAACAGGUUUUUUGUGUUUGUGUUUCUGUUUCUAACAUUGGCAGACUUUCUUACAUCUUCAUGUAGAUGGUAUUAGUGUUGUAAGGUUGCUAUAACAAACUUGAGAGAUUGUAUAUUAGAACUUCAGUAUAUCGAAGAAUUCUGCAAAUGGUGUAUCCCAUGGUCCCCUUGUCCUAUGGCUGGUUAAUGUGACCUUCAGCAGUCAUAGCCAUUUUUCAUUGUGAGGGUACAAUUCCAUCCAUUGGUGGUUUACUUCCCCCCUUGAGGUACGCAGACCAGUGUUAUCAUGGCUCCUUCACGCCUAACUCGAUCAAAUGCUGACGCUGUCAAGGGCAGAUAUUUUCACCUAGUCUGUGAUUGUGACUGACCAUUUAGUUAGAGCAGGGGGUUCCUAACCUUUUUUAUGCCAUGGGCUAAUGCCAUGGUAUUGAAGGCCUAUGUGAGUCAGCUGUCUGGUAUUUUGCAGCACCUUUACAAUUUGAGUCUGAGUCUGGAAAAGAUACCGGUGCAAUGGAAGACUCCUGUACCAAAGAUGGUGACUCCAUCUGAAUUGAAUGACUACUGAAAAAUUGCCGUCACUUCUCACGUGAAGAAGGUGCUGGAGAGGCUGGUCCUGAUUUAUCCUGGACAAAAAGUGAGAUCUUCAUUGGACCCUCUACUGUUUGCCUACCAACCUCAUGUGGGAGUGGAUGAUACCAUCAUCUACCUAUUGUAGAGAGCUCAUUCCCACUUAGAAGAUGCUGGUGGCACUUUGAGAACCACAUUUUUUGAUAUCUCUAGUGCCUUCAAUACAAUCCAGCCACUUCUUCUGAGCGAGAAGCUGUAAAGGAUGGGUGCAGACAAAUCCUCUAUCUCUUGGAUUACUGACUACCUGACAGAUAGACUCCAGUUUGUACGGCUGGCUGAUUCUCUGUCUGAGAUACUGGUGAGAGGCACUGGAGGAUCACAAGGGACUCUCCUGUCUCUGUUUCUGUUCACCCGGUACACCUCAGACUUUCAGUGCAAAUCUGAGUUUUGUCACUUGCAGAAGUUCUCUGAUGAUUCUGCAGUGGUUGGGUAUAUCAGAGAUGGGCAGGAGUCAGAGUACAGAGGACUGGUGGAUAAGUUUGUGGAGUGGUGCAGGUGGAAUCACCUGCUCCUGAAUGUGGUUAAAAUCAGGGAGAUGGUGAUUGAUUUUAGGAGGAAGAGGACUGUGACGAGUCCUGUAUCUAUUCUGGGAGGAAAAGUUGUGGUGGUGCAGGAGUACAAAUACCUGACUGGAAAACCAACACAAAGGUUGUUUACAAGAAGGGGAUGAGCAGAUACUAUUUUCUAAGGAAGGUGAGAUCCUUCACCGUGUGCAGAUGUUGGAGAUAUUUUACCAGUCAGUUGUAGCGAGUGCAGUCUUCUUUGCAGCUUUAUGUUGGGGGAGCAGCAUCGGUACUGAUGAUGCAAAAAGACUAAAUAAGCUCCAUCAAAAAGGCUGGAUCUGUCCUUGGCUAAAACCCGGACUCUUUUAAGUUAGUGGUGGAGAGAUCACUGAACAGUUAUCCAUCAUGGACAAUCAGGCACAUCCUCUCCACGACCUACUGCAUAAACAAUGGAGAACCCUUUCGAAUAGGCUCAUUCUGUCACAAGGAUAGUUACAGAAAACUUUUCCUACCAAAUGCAAUAAGCAUAUAGAAUAGUUAUCUCUGUGUGACAGGAGAACACACAUCAUAGUACAAUAGACUCUGUUUUAUUAUUUUGUACAUUAUUAUUGCACAGUAUUGCACAUUGGUAAAUUAUCAUGUAUAUUAUUACUCUGUGCUUUAUGAGUAGUUAAUUUUAUUAUUAUAUUUAUUAUUAUUUUUAAGUGUUGCUGCUGUAACAAAAUAAUUUCCCUCCUGGGAUAAGUAAAGUACUUACUAUUAUUAUUAUUAAACAUAGAGUCCGUGGACCCCAGUUUGGGAACCCCUGAAAGAGGUUGUGUUUUAAGGAGCAUUUUAAAGGGAAAGGAGCAGGAAAGCAAUAAAGUGUAGCAACACACACAAAAAACGCUGGUGAACGCAGCAGGCCAGGCAGCAUCUCUAGGAAGAGGUACAGUCGAUGUUUUGGGCCGAGACCCUUCGUCAGGACUAACUGAAAGAAGAGCUAGUAAGAGAUUUGAAAGUGGGAGGAGGAGGGGGAGAUCCGAAAUGAUAGGAGAAGACAGGAGGAGGAGGGAUGGAGCCAAGAGCUGGGAAGUUGAUUGGCAAAAGGGAUACGAGGCUGGAGGAGGGAGAGGACCAUGGGACGGGAGGCCUAGGGAGAAAGGGGGAGGGGUGGAAAACCCAGAGGAUGGGCAAGGAAUUGUCGUGAGAGGGAUAGAGGGAGAAAAAAGAGAAGGGGGGGAGAGAGAGAGAGAGAGAGAGAGAGAGAGAGAGAGAGAGAGAGAGAAUAAAUAAAUAAAUAAUGGAUGGGGUACGAAGGGGAGGUGGGGCAUUAACGGAAGUUAGUGAAGUCAAUGUUCAUACCAUCAGGUUGGAGGCUACCCAGAUGGAAUAUAAGGUGUUGUUCCUCCAACCUGAGUGUGGCUCCAUCUUGACAGUAGAGGAGGCCGUGAAUAGACAUAUUGGAAUGGGAAUGGGACGUGGAAUUAAAAUGUGUGGCCACUGGGAGAUCCUGCUUUCUCUGGCGGACAGAGUGUAGAUGUUCAGCAAAACGAUCUCCCAGUCUGCGUCAGGUCUUGCCAAUAUAUAGAAGCCAAUAAGGUGUAGCUCCAGAUUUUAAUCCUCAGAAGUAAUUUGGGAUUAAUUUCCAUCAAAUAUAGAGACUAGGAAGGGGGUAUCUCAGAAGUUAUUGUCUGAAUGUUACAGAAAUAAAGAGUUGAAAAUAGACAGGGUGUGAAACUGGGCCAACACUCAGAAUGAAUAUUGAAGGCCUAGGUUUUGGAAUGUAAGAGACUACACAGUAUGUGUAGUGGGAGUAGUAAGAGUCCUUACAGUACUUGGGUUAGUUCAACCUCAACAAUCUGCAAAACACUUCAUGGUUUCCAGAGAGGAAAAUUGUAGCAAGAGGGAAGAACCAGAGACAGAGACUAAUUCAACAUGGUGCAUGGUGAUGAGUUUUGAUAUACUGAAUAGAGACUUAGACCCACCCUGCUGCUUCACAAGUUGAGUGGCUAUUGAUGUGUUGUAUGGUGGAUGGAUUAUACAGUCUCUCUCCAGAGCACUGAUUAAAUUAUAUGUUAAAUCUCAAGGUGCAAUAACAAACAAAUGCUCCUCUGAUAGAGGGGAGAUACAGAGGGAAUGGUGCAUUGUCAGAGAAAAUAAGAAAUGAAAGAAACAGGAACAAUAAAUACUGGUCAGCAUGGAUGAAUUAGGCCGAAGGACCUAUAGCUGUGUGUUGUAUUACUCUUAUGACUUCAUGAAUAAGUUGAUUUAGGUUAAUAUCACAGAAUACAACCUGAAAUUCUUCCUCUUCACAGACAGCUACGAAACAAGAGAGCCCACAGAAUGAAUGAUAAAACAUUGACGCCCUAAAUCUCCCCUCUCUACCCAACCUUCUGUUCCAUCUUCUAGUUUUGGCCUUGACAUAAUUUUUCUGUUCUUUUCCCCUACUGGGAAGUAGUGGUGAGGGACAGCUGCGUUGUUGGAAAUGGAAUCCUUCAGGUAGGACAUUGACAUUUCCUUUCUGUGGGAGAUUCAAAAGAUCCCAUGGAAUUAUUAGACAAAGAGGAAUAUUUUGUGGGACCAUGGAUGUGCAUGGAACUUGGAACCAAGUGUUGAUAAAGUUUCAGCUGACAACACAAUUCAGAGAUACUCAACUCUGCAGAACUUAGUGACAUUUUGAAAACAAGGCAGGCACGGUUAAACGCAGCCUAUUCUCUCUUCAAAAGGGAACUGCUAAAAAGUGAACUGUGAACAUAAAGUGUGGGGUCGGGGUUGGUAGGUCCCCUGAGCCCAUUCUGCCUCUUAAGAAGAUAAUAGCUGACAUGAGAUUUAGAAAGUCCUUGCAACUUAAUGGUGCACCCACGUAUGUUCUAGAUUUUCAGCCUUCUUGUAGUCCGAAAGAUGUUAUCAGCCACUAUUUGACUGUCACCUCUCAUAGCUGUUUCUCGCUGUAUUCUGAGCAACAAGCUUUCAUAUCCUGCUUUAAUUCUGUCUGUAUUUCAGAUACACACUCGCUUACUUGGUGUUAGGUACAAGGCUCAAUACCAGCAUGAAAAAGAAAGAAAUGGAAAUCAGACUACAGAGGGGACCUCUCACAAAGCGUUAG